rnacentral:rRNA from 1 species
CCUACGGGAGGCAGCAGUGAGGAAUAUUGGUCAAUGGACGAGAGUCUGAACCAGCCAAGUAGCGUGAAGGAUGACUGCCCUAUGGGUUGUAAACUUCUUUUAUAUGGGAAUAAAACGUUCCACGUGUGGGAUUUUGUAUGUACCAUAUGAAUAAGGAUCGGCUAACUCCGUGCCAGCAGCCGCGGUAAUACGGAGGAUCCGAGCGUUAUCCGGAUUUAUUGGGUUUAAAGGGAGCGUAGGUGGAUUGUUAAGUCAGUUGUGAAAGUUUGCGGCUCAACCGUAAAAUUGCAGUUGAAACUGGCAGUCUUGAGUACAGUAGAGGUGGGCGGAAUUCGGGGUGUAGCGGUGAAAUGCUUAGAUAUCACGAAGAACUCCGAUUGCGAAGGCAGUUCACUGGACUGCAACUGACACUGAGGCUCGAAAGUGUGGGUAUCAAACAGGAUUAGAUACCCUAGUAGUC